rnacentral:rRNA from 1 species
AUUGAACGCUGGCGGCAGGCCUAACACAUGCAAGUCGAACGAGUGGCGGAAGGGUGAGUAAUGUCUGGGAAACUGCCUGAUGGAGGGGGAUAACUACUGGAAACGGUAGCUAAUACCGCAUACACUCGGACUAGCCCAGAUGGGAUUAGCUAGGAGGUGGGGGAACGGCGCACCUAGGAGACGAUCCCCAGCUGGUCUGAGAGGAUGACCAGCCACACUGGAACUGAGACACGGUCCAGAAUCCUACGGGAGGCAGCGGUGGGGAAUAUUGCACAAUGGGCGCAAGCCUGAUGCAGCCAGGCCGCGUGUAUGAAGAAGGCCUUCGGGUUGUAAAGUACUUUCAGCGGGGAGGCGUUACCCGCAGAAGAAGCACCGGCUAACUCCGUGCCAGCCGCCGCGGUAAUUC